GUCAGUGUCGGAGCAGGUGAGGUCGGCGGCGUCCUGGAGUCCAGUGUUUGAGUCGGAGAUCGCGUUGGCUUCGAGUUCGAAGAAGGAAGCACAGCCAGUGGUCUGGAGGAGAUGCGGUCGGAGACGGUGUAGUUCGGUCGUCAACGGAGAGCACUGAAAAAGAUCUGCCUUGGUUUUGGGAUGAAAAUGCAUUCAAGGAAAACUAUAUCCAGUUGUUUUGAGAUGAAGAUCUUAUCCCUCAAUAUUCACUAUAGUCUGACAUUCCAUCCAUUCACUGUGGUGGAUUGUUUUUUGGAUUCAGAAUUUGAAUGCUGUAUAUAUACAACAUUAUGAUGAUGAAGCUCAUCUUUUAAGUCUUUUGAUUCAGAACCUGAAUGCUGUAAGUACACAGAAUCUUAUAUGUCACAAUAUCACCUGCCUAGCACUGCAAUGACUAAAGUUCAUUUCCAAAUUA